UACGUAGGGUGCGAGCGUUGUCCGGAUUUAUUGGGCGUAAAGGGCUCGUAGGCGGCCUGUCGCGUCGGGCGUGAAAGCCCACUGCUUAACGGUGGGUCUGCUUCCGGUACGGGCGGGCUGGAGUAUGGCAGGGGAGACUGGAAUUCCUGGUGUAGCGGUGGAAUGCGCAGAUAUCAGGAGGAACACCGGUGGCGAAGGCGGGUCUCUGGGCCAAUACUGACGCUGAGGAGCGAAAGCGUGGGGAGCGAACAGG
rnacentral:rRNA from 1 species